UUAAUUCUCUUCGAUGUUCAUCCGAUUCACUUCCUAAAUCCAAACCAAAUCACAAACCCUAGAUCUAGAGAGAAACCAAAUCAACCGCUAAUGGCUACGAAUUGCGGAUCAAGAUCAUGGGGAAAGCGCUCGGGAAUGCUAGUACUACACCGUAACAUCAAGAAAACAGAAAAAUAUGGAGGUGGAGAAGGUGAUCCGAAAACUUACCUGGAUGAAGAUCAAGAGUGAGAUGAACGAAAAUGGUGGAGCUUCCGGUGCAAACUCGAGCGAAAUAAACGCAACGAGCAGAGAGUUUCUUCAGGUUUGGAUGAUUGCAGGUGAAGAUGAGAUUAUGGAGAGGUUGCGAAUCUAUUGAAAUGAAGAAUGGUGUUGAUCGAUACUGACGGAAUUGAAGGCUCUGCAGAAACCGAUGGAGAUUGAAGUGGUGAGAAGGUUGAAGAACAAUGAAGAGAGAUUCAGAGAUGGUUGAUGAUGAAGAUUGAAGAAGAUUAAAGAGUUGGAGAGUAUUGAAGAACAGUGUGAUUGGAAGAAGGAUGAUGGAGGAUGUUGAUGGAGAGUGGUGAAGAAGAUGAUUGGAGAAGACUGAAGAAUGUGAAAGAAUGGAUCCAGAGCCUCAAAUGGUGAAGCAAGCUAUGAUUUUAUAGUAGUGGAGGAGAUUCAAUUUCUGAGGUAACUUCCUUUCUCUUCUUCUGUUAAUCUGUUAAGAGUUGUGUAACUGAUUUUUUCGAGGUUGUUAGGGUUCUGUUAGGUUAUUCAGGAGUUAGUUAGACUCUGUUAUAGGGUUGUUAUAAUUCUGUUUUUUUAAUUGGUUAGGAGAAGUUGUGAACUGAAUGUUUCUAAAAAUCUGUUUGCAGUUGGUAGCUUGGUUUAGAAAUAAUG